rnacentral:rRNA from 1 species
GAUGAACGCUAGCUACAGGCUUAACACAUGCAAGUCGAGGGACCGGCGCACGGGUGAGUAACACGUAUCCAACCUGCCCUUUACUCGGGGAUAGCCUUUCGAAAGAAAGAUUAAUACCCGAUAUAAAGGAUGGGGAUGCGUUCCAUUAGGUUGUUGGUGAGGUAACGGCUCACCAAGCCUUCGAUGGAUAGGGGUUCUGAGAGGAAGGGCCCCCACAUGGGAACUGGGCCACGGUCCAAACUCUUACGGGAGGCAGCAGUGAGGAAUAUUGGUCAAGGGGCGUUAGCUUGAACCAGCCAAGUAGCGUGAAGGAUGAAGGCUUAUGGGUCGUAAACUGUUUUUAUAUAAGAAUAUGUAUUAAAUGAAUAAGGACCGGCUAACGCCGUGCCAGCAGCCGGGGUAAUA